UGAUUAUGUUUUUUUUAAAGAAUCCUUAUCUUUUAGAGAUAUAUAUACUAAAAUAUUUACAGGUGAAAUGUUAUGAUGGCUGGGAUUUGCUUUGAAACAAUGUGAGGAGGAGGGAAAGGCAGGGAAAGAUAGAAGAUUGGCCAUAAGUGGAUAAUGGUUGGAGUUGGUGUUGGGUACCUUGGUAUUAUGCUAUUAUAUUAUGCUAUUCAGUCUACUUUUUGGUGUGUGCUUGGAAUGUUUUAUAAUUAAGGUGUUUUUUUUUUAAGUUUUAAUUUUAAUUCCAGUUAGUUUACAUAUAGUGUAAUAUUAGUUUCAGGAGUGCAAUACAGUGACUCAACGCAUUUGUACAACACCUGGUGCUCAUCACGACAAGUGCCCUCCAUAAUCCCCAUCACAUCUUUAGCCCAUCCUCCCUCCCACCUCCCCUCUGGUAACCCUCAUUGUGUUUUCUAUAAUUAAGGGGCUGUUUCUUGGUUUCUCUCUCUCUCUUUUUUCCCCUUUGCUCAUUUGUUUUGUUUCUUAAAGUCCACAUAUGAGUGAAAUCAUAGGGUAUUUGUCUUUCUCUGACUUAUUUCACUUAGCAUUAUAUUCUCCAGCUCCACUUAUGUCAUUGUAAAUGGCAAGAUUUCAUUCUUUUUUAAGGCUGAAUAAUAAUUAAGGUUUGUUGUUGUUGUUGUUUUUUUAAGUAUGUGGGAAAGAAAGUUAUUUUGUUCUCAUCCCUUCAGUUCUUCGAUUCACUUUGUUAUGUCUCUUUGCCUCACUCAAGGUCACCUUGACCUUCGGGAAGAGGGUCCAAAUUAUUGGCAUCCUCACCCCUUUAGCACUUUCACAUUCCUCAAAUAUAUUUAAAGGACUCCUCCUCCUUCUAGAACCAGAAGGGUGGGGGUCAGCUGAAAGUCCUAGAACGGUCUACACUUCACAAACUCUGGGCUUAGGCUUCUUCUGGUUUGAAACACUUGCUUAUCCCCAAUGAGAAGUCACUGCCUCCUUGAUGAUAAGUUAUAGAAGAGAAACGUACCAUUUUCACUGAGUCUGGACCCCAGGGAGCUGGCAUGGGUUAGUUUUAUGGAAGGACACUUUCAUGGGGCUGACUCUACUUGGAAGCCAACUGAUGAAGAUGUGUUAUCUGAAAGAAUCUAGGCACCACCAGCUGCUUAGGAACACAGUGUGGACAGCAUGCUCAGCACUGAAUUAUUUAAUCUCUCCAAUAUUUCUAUUUUAUCUCCCCCCACAGAUUAGAUGCUCUGAAGUCCAUUAGCUUAAUGCUUUCCAGAGUAGAUUUUCUCUGGCCUCAUUUCCACCACCCUCUUGUUCCCCACCGCACCCCCACCCCCCACCACACCCCACCAGGAAUGCUCUGUGCUCACUUUAUUGUCCUCAACCACUGCCCAUCUUCAUGGCCCUGCUUUCUGCCUGUGCACAGUUACAAGAGACUCGAGGAAGAAUAGCUGAUUGGUAGUGACAGGGAGCGGGGGAGCCAGCAUGGCAAGAGUGGGCCAGCUGGUGAAGUCUUACAUGGAACGAUUUAAGCCUUAAGAGUUGUCAGGGAUGCCUACCCCUUUGAGUUAACAUCUUGUCUAGCUUCCGAUCCAUGGCCCAUUUUCUAGUGGUCUGACUUGGAGGAAGCUACCGAAGCCAUACUUAUCACAUUCCAGAUGCCACAAGAGCUCUGGGCGUUAGUGAAUACGGCACAUGAUUAAGUCAGGAUCCAGGAGAAGCUGACAGUCAAGAAUAAUGAGGCAAAUCUAAGAGGCUGGAAUGCAAUGGCAUAAGGGUAGAGGGCUAUGCUGGCAGCCAUCUGCAGAGAACAGCAUGAGGAGGAGUGGCUGCCUGGCAGCUUUCUGUGAUAUGGCCACAAGCACCUACAGACAAAUUUUGAAAAAUCCAGUUACAUGCAUAGAAGAUGUUGGAGGCGUCAAUAGUAUAAUGAAUGCAGAGGAGGGGGGCCAACCCGGAAACCACGCUUUGUUUCCUGUAAGCUUCUGAAGGGGGGGGCGGGCAUCUCAACAGAUGUUAGCUGUUAGUAAGAUAUUAUUAUUUCCCUGGUGGUGCCUGAUUCAGUUUGUUGUAUGCAGAAGUUGAUCUGUAAACGUCUCGCCUAUUAACAUCCUCCUGACAUCCUUUGGAUGCAGAAUUGCUGUGUAUGUCGGGGGCACUGUGACUCUGUUACUGCUUUCUGCUCCCUCCGAGCACCGGUUAGGUUAGCUUUUUUGUUGUCGUCUCUUCUAACUCCCUAAGUUACACAGUAGGGUCGUAGUGAGGAGGAUAACUUCAGAGUAGAUUUUACGAUAAAAAUAAUAAUGGUAACCGUAAUGGCUACCAUAUUUUCCCUCUAUUUGUGCCAGGCUCUGGCGUGGCACUUUGCAUUGGGCCGUUUAGUCCUCGCAGAAACCCCAAGAAGGUCGGUGGCAGCAUUAUUCCUAUUUUACAGAGAAGUAAAGUGAGCUUUAGAAAAGUCAUUUGCCCAAGGCUACACAGCUUGGAAGUGGCGAGCUGGGAUUCCAGAGUCCAGGCUCUUCACACCUAUCCAGAGCUGCCCUUUGCCCAGCAGCAAAGAGGUGUUCUCUUGAAGGGCUCCUUGUGGGCGCUGCGUAGAGGUCCCAGAGGCUUCAUGUGUAGGGGUGAACGCGGACCCGAGCCCCCAGAGCCUGGCGGUACUGCUGGUGAUAGCCAAAACUUUAUAAUGUGCUUCAAAUGGACUUUCCAGCUCACCUGGCCGCUUUCCUGAUGAGAGGACACAGGCAUGUUGACCCUAUAUAUUUACCUGCACACACUGUCAUUCUCUCUCUUUCCUACUUGGUUUGUCUGUGUAUCGUUUUCCAGUGGUCUCUGGUCGGCAGGUGCUGGAAUGUUGCAGAGAAAAAUCAAGUCACUCAACCAAUAUGUGUGGGGCUCUAAGUACUAAGUAAUUUAAAAGGAACUUGAAGAUACAGUCUCCACCCUCAAGGGGCCUUGAUUUUAUGGGAGAUUUGACCUAGAGCUCUGAGGACACGUGGGACACUUGGCGGGUCUUCCCAGCUCAGAGAGAGACUGGGGAUGGACCCGGGAGUUGGGGAGGUGCGGACAGGCAGCUCUAGUCACCCCACCGAAUCUGCCAUCUGAGGGACCUGUCCUCACCCAGCCAUCAGCAUGGGUGCAAGCAGAAACCACCCAUCUUUGCCUCUUCUCUAGGAUCCACUCUUUAAAAGCAUUUGGGUAAUUAUAGCUUCCAUUUCUGCUUUGGUUGUUGGUUUUAGUGUAUUAAUUACCUGCCAUGUCAAGAGAUUUCCCUGACCCUCCAUGCUCUCACCCUUUCCUCUCAGCAGUUAGGGUGGCUCCGUGGUUUCCAUCUCUUGUGAGCCACGUGAGAGUUAGGCACUUGCCAACCUCCCUGUCCUCGAAUGUACCCUCUGCUUUCUUCCUCACAAGAAACUGUGUGACUGCAAUGACCAAGUCCUCUACCCUCAACGGUAGGUGGGCAUGGAGGGGCUGGCAAGGGAAGAAAGGAGGAAUGAACUAGCUUUGAUUUAAAAAAUUCUCCCAGAGUUGGAGUGAAACACUCUUUUGCUUUUCAUUCCACAUUUUGGUCACAUCUACUUGAGCAUUUACUAAUCCUGAGAGAUAAUCUCUCCCCUGGUAUUUCUGUUUCUUUUUGCAAGAUUCUAACUCUUCUUAUAUCUUGGGUGAGCUUCGUGAGACUAAAGGGUGUUUCUCGGGGCACCUUGGUAGCUUAGUCGGUUCAGCGUCUGACUUCAGCUCAGGUCAUGAUCUCACAGUUCGUGGGUUCGAGCCCCAUGUCAGGCUCUGUGCUAACAGUCUGGAGCCUGCUUGGGAUUGUGUCUCUCUUCCUCUCUCUCUCUCUGCCUCUCCCCCACUUGAAUUCUCUCUCUCUCUCUCUCUCUCUCUCUCUCUCUCUGUCACUCUCUCUCAAAAUAAACAAACUUAAAAAAAAAAGGGCAUUUCUUUUUUAUUCACCAAACGUUAAUGGCUAACGAGUCUUAGAGUCUUUCAGGCACUCUGCUUAUACUCUUGACUCACCAGGAGUGCCAGGCACCCUUUCUGGUUCUGCCCAUUGCCCUCAGGUGGGAGAGUCAGGGCACUGAAUCAAUGAAGAGGCCCAUACUAGACCCAGUGCUCCUUUCCUGCACGGAGUGGCCCCGCAGCAGUUUCCGGUACUUAGUAGGUACUCAGUGAGCAGUCAUUGAAUGGAAUGAAAUCAGUUCCUGGUAUGGCACCAGGUACAGAGCAGACACAUAUUUGUUGAAAUAAUGAAUAAAUUCCUCUAUUCCAUGGCGGAAGAAUUCCAGUCUCCAUAGAACUCACAUCAUUUGAACCUCUGGAAGGGAUUUGGGCUGGAUGAAGUAGGAAAGCGGCCAUCAGCAGGGGAGCAGAUGUCUGACCCAGGCCCUCCAGCCAAGGAGACCGGCACUGUGUCUGUGGGAACUUGGAUGCUCUGACCUCUGGGAAGCUUGCAAGAGUGGAGGGGGUCGGGGGGAAUGCGAAUCCAGCGGCUUUCUGGGCUCCUUCUGGCACUCUUACAGCAGCACAUACUUUGCUAUGCCAGCCCCCAGCUCCAACAGCUUUAACAGCCUAGUAAUUAUCUCCUGAUCAAGGGAGGCAAGGAUGUGUGUGGAAAUCACUUUUUAGUAGCAAAUAUGUCUUUUGGAAAAAGCCCCAGUAAGCUGUUGGCUUUCUCUCAAGUGUUCAAAGGAUACCAGAGGACUGACAGGCUAAUUUAAUCAUAUUAAUACAAGAAGUGUCCCCAGUGCAGAGGGAAAUAUAUUGUGGUAAAUUGUCAGUUUUGGAACUGGGCCUCCAGCUCCGAUGUGUGAGUACAAAUGCUCUCUGUGAGAGUAGAGGAGUCACAUCACACAGGGGAAGGGAAAAUGCUUCUUUCCAGGUCCCCGGACUCUGCUCCUUAACAGAGGAAGGCUCUUGGUCUCAUCCAGAUAAGUGUUUUAGAAGAACAAACACAGCUAAAUAGGACCUGGAUGUCCCAUCCUCCUGCUUGCAAACAGCUCCCCCCACCCCUCCUCUUUGACCACUCAGGAGAAAACACCCUGGAGUUAACAUCUAAGGACACACAGGUUCAUUUAAAUCCAUCAUGAGACGCCUCUUGGAUCCAGCAGUAGGACCACAGGUUUUUCCUAAAUUAAAUAUAGUUUAGAAUGAUAUUCCCUCACAGUUGUCAAUGCAGUCAGAAGAGUCCAGACUUCUUUAGCAUGGCCUGAUAGGACACUGGAUACCUCGGACACCAACUAGCUGGGUCAGGGAACUUGAGUUCUGUUUCCUCAUCUACACGAACGGGAGCUUGGGUGACAUGCUGUCCGAGGCCUCCCCACAAGCUCCAAUAUUCUUCAUCCUACCACAACUGUCUCCUUAAUUAUUCUUGUGUCAUUUCCCCAAACCAUGUUCUUCUGCAGUGACCCUGUCUGGUGAGAUGUCGAUGCUGUACCCAACUCCCACAGUUGAAGCUAGGCCUCUGUCUGUCCCUGUUCAGACCACGCUCAGGUCUAAUCAGAACCUUGGAGCUCCAGGCAUUCACUCAGGCAGCCCCAUUUAUCAGAGACCUGCACAGUGCAAGGUGCUGGGCAUGCCAUACAGCGGCGAACCAAACAGCUGUGAUCCCUGCCUUUUGGGCAUCUUAUACUUCUCUAGAGAGACAUAGUAAAGAAAGAAAGAAAAUGGUAAUAUGGGUUAUGAAGGAUUAACAGGGGUUGACCUAAUUUCUUUUGGGAGAGGAUAAAAGGCUGCUCUAAGGAAGUAGUAUUUGAUCUGAAACUCGAAGAAGAAGUUAGCCAGGCAACAAGCCGUAGAAAGCGCCCCCCCGUAGAGGGAGGAGCAAAUGCAAAGACGUCUUUGCAGGGAAGGACCAUACAGACCAACGGAGCUCAGUGUGUCCAAAGAAUGGCAUGUCCGGAACAUAGGGAGGGAGGCUGGAGGAGGGAUGGAUUCGUUAAGAUGAUGCCAACUGCUGGAGCAAACCGAAACCGUGUACCGAACCAAAUCACAUGGGCGUUUCUCAUUCACGUAGAGCCACAGACAGCUCUUGUCCAAGCAGUGUUUGGGGGAACCACAGCUUCUUCCACCUCGCGGCCCUGCCAUUUUUAGUGAGCUGCCAAGUCCGGGAUGCUUGUUUGCAUGGCGGGCUGUGCCCAGGAGACCUCUCAGGGCACAGGCCCGUCUGGGAGUCCGCUGUCACGUUGUUCAGGUUCCUUUGGCACAAGGUGCCUGCAAGGUGGGACUGUGAUGUGCAGGAGGGGAUGCAGCAGGUGAGGCAGGCCCUGGAGGCCGAGCUCCAGAAGUUAGGGUUCAUUCCAGCUGCGCUGCGAAGAGCAAGGUGAGAACACACCGUGGCAAAUCCAGUGCCACUUCUCAUCCUACAUGUUGGGUCGCGCAUGUCACACGGCGUGUCUGAACCGAAUUCACCACCACCCCCCUCCAGAAGCAUCGCCCUCAGUUUCUUGUUUUGGCGGCGCCAUUCCAGACCUAACAGUCCUGCUCUGUUGGCCGCCCAGGCUUGCCGUCUACCUCCCAGGCCUGGGCAGUUUCUGUGCCUGCCCAGGGAAGCUCUCUGAUUGGUUCCCUGCUGUCCCGAUACAGCAUGCUGAUUUCCAGUGUGGCCUGUCCUCUCCCAGCAACAGUUAUUCCUAGCUGGGAUGUUUUCCCAGUAUCGAAUCAUCUGAGAAACGUAAUAAUCGCAUCACAGUGAGCAUGGCGAUGAAGCUUUCGAAAAUGUGCCUUUUUGUUUCUGCUCAAAAAGAUAUGAUUGGUUGCCAAUUAUCUGCUGAAGAAAGUUUGAACUUCUGUACUUUGGGGAAACCGGCUCAACCCAGCCUUCCCGAACUAUUCUUAAUGUGUCCCCCUCCAGUCAGCCAGGAUCUGUGACUGUGCUCCAGACACGGCACGGAUUUGGGGGUGUCCUGCCCCAAGUUCUUCCCCUCUGCCUGGGACCACCUCUUCCUCUCUGUCCACCUCCCCAAAUCCUACCAGUCCUUCAGUGCCAGUCCUCGUUCCCAAGUCUACCCUUUCCCAGGAAGCUUUCCCUUUCUCCACCAGCCAUAAAAAAGCUUUCUGUCUCUGGCAUUCUGUAACGCUCUGCAAAGCCCUUUGCACAAUGGCUUGCAAAUACUAGGUGCUCAGUUAAUGCUUAAAUUAUGUAAAUUAUAUACCAGUCCUUUGGCAUUUGUCAUUGAUUGCCUUUUACUGACAUCUAUCCUUCCAAUUAAUUUAUAAACUUCUUAAGAUAUUCAAUAUCUAAGAUUGUGCCCGGCACAUCCUCAGAAAAAACCCUAAUUAAUGAAUGCUUUUCUAUCAUUUCUGUGACACCUUGCACAGCUCCUUCAACACAGCAGAUGUUCAAAACAUUCUUGUUGUUUUAAUACGUGAUACCUUCGUAAAUGCAAAGCUUUAGUCAGUUCAGGAGGAAUAGUUUGGCUGAGAAUUCGAGCCCCGAAGACAGACCUUUGGGCAAAGUGUUGGGUGGGGAGUAGAGAUUGCCAGUGACUGUCUAGCCCUCUGUGACCAGCUUCCUGUUUUGCUUCUUCUGCCCAGCUCUGGGUUUGUCAUGGAGUGUUUAGUUACAAAUACUCCCGCUUUCCAAUUUACAGUGCUCCUUCCCCCUCCCAUCCCCUCCCGUCCCCUCCCCACACACAAAAAGAGGUUGCAAGAGGGAGGGGUGAUACCCUUGGUAUCUUUUAAAAAAUUUCCAUGUUAUCAAGAUUCUUCAUGUGACAAACCAUACUAGAGCCAGGAGAGAGCAUCAGAGCAAAAAACCAUGUUUUCAGAAUUUACUGUAGCUCUGUGGGGUUUUGUUUGCCUAGAGUACAAUCCUGCAGUAAAAUGAGCCCCCCGCCAUGAUAGUGGGCCCCUCCAUCCCAUUUCCAAAUCUACCUGCUUCUCAACAUCUUUGAGUCAGAUGGAAAAUUCAGUUCUGUCUUCUUUUUCUCUGUAUCUUAAUUGGUUUUCCAGAUGCAAGUCCCAGAAGUGGGAUUUAGCUCUGCACAUCAUCCCUUAAUGUGAGCGGGCUCACAGUGAAUGGGGGAAAGGGAAAGGGUAGCCAUAUUGAGUGUCAAGUCCCUCCUACCUGCUUUGGGCCUCACAUAAAGAGCAAAUGGCUGGUCGGGAGAGAGUGUCUCUCCAGAUUGGAAUGGCCAGCUCAGGGUCAGAUUCUGCCCCUUCUGUGAGUCACUUCCCAAAGGGGGGGGGGGGGGGCCUGACAGCCAGCACUCUUCAGGAAGAACUCCGGGAUCAUGGAUGUGACUGCUAACACCGGGUUUUUAGGCAGAACCCUGGGGCUUCGGGAAUCUCUGGAAGUCUGUCUGUUGGACUCCCUAAUCAAACUGCCAGAUACAAAUCAGCAUCUACAAAUGCAUGAGCGUCGAAGGGGGUUGCUCUCUGGAAGCGGAUCUUCUCAAGUGGGUCUGAAGAAGUUGGUGGUAGGUCCCUAACACUUCAUUCUCUCUCAGUCAGUUGCAGAGCAAAGACACCAUCAUUGCCUACCUCCUCACGUGCGCUUCCAGUUUUCCUUGGAAACAGAGGGCGUGUUCUGGAUCCUGGUUCGUGUGAGACCCUGGUAGUCCCCAAAUUUAAAACAUCCUUAGUUUCGAGCAGGCUGCUUCCAAGAACGAGGGUAGCUAGAGAGCGUCGUCUCAGAUUUUCGCUUUUUUACCUUUGGCAAGCAGCACCUAGUGGUCCUCAUUUCAGUGAUUACAGGGUUCGUGUAAUGGGCCGGGGUUUGGGCUGUGGGAUAGCAGUUCUGUCCUUGGAAGAGUGCCAGCCAGCUUUAGCUUUCCGCACUGCAGUUGUUGGCACUGCUCACAGCGUGAGGCCUGGGGUCAGGAAGGACGGCAUCACCAACCUGCCCGGGGAGGCCAGGCCCACCUGACAGCCAUCGCGGGCUCAUGCCACGGCCCCCUUUCCAGAUUAAGUAUCAAUUUACCUUUUUUUCUCAUCCUUAUCCAAAAACGUGCUCAGAGCCUAGACACGUCCUUCACACGCACUGGAAUCUGAACUGUACAACACAGGAAAAGUGAGGCCUUCAGCAAGGCGUUUUGGACCAUGAGACUUUGUGGUUGGGAUUUCACUAAAUGCCAUGUUGGGGGGCGGGGGAGUCUUCUUUCAUCCCCAGCCUGGUUCAUGCUCAUCAUCUUAAUCACAGGCUAAAGAUGAAUAUUUCUGGUUAGUUUUGCCUUUUUUAUAUAUACACAGUGCCUAUUUAUAGCUAUUUGCUGACGGACUCUACCAAUUACUUUAAAAGCUUGUAUUUAGAGAGAAACAAACUAAAAAUGUGAAUCCACUGGAAACCCAUAGUUCUGCGUUGAGUUAGCUUGUUGUGGGGCAGGGUCAGAACAGAGACGGCGGUUGGCACAUGAUGAUGUCAGAACUGGAAAUGAUCGUCUGUUAUGACUUUAAUUGGAGGAUGAUUAGAGAAAGGACACACUCUUCUAUCUGUCUUAUCUUUGUUAUUACAAGCUUACUGGAUCCCUUGUGCAUGUUUAUUUGGGGUAUUGUACGUUACAAGCCCAGUGAAAUUGCUGUCUCCACAGUCAUCACUGACAUCCUAUUUACAAAAUCCACCGUUCUUCUUCCCUGCCUUCUCAGACUUUCCUUCUCUCUGGCAGUAACCAUGUCCUCCGUGGAAUAUUUCCCCUAGCUUCAGAGGCAUUCUUCCCGUCUAACUCCUCCUCCUCAGUCUUUUGGAGGCUCAUUUCCUCCUGUAUUGCCUUUCAAAUGUUGGUUCUCUCCAGGGUUCCACACUCUACCCCUUUCUCUUCUCAGUGCAAAUGUUUCUGCCAUGGUAACUACAAAAGGUAGAUGUGGAGACAGGGCACCCAGCUUGGGAGUCCCGGACUUGGCCGUGUGUAGGCUACAUCAGAGAGGAGCUUCCUGUAGAAGCUUCUUAUGGGGAGACAUACAGGAUUUCUCUGCCUGCCACCUCUAUUCCUCACCCUGGGCACAGGCUGAAAAAAGGUCAAGUGGCUCAUGGGGGCAGUGGAAAGGAGGUGGAGCCAGAGACAGUACAUGUGCUAUUGUCCCUGGAGGAGAGAGGAGGGACAAGCUGAAGCGGUUGAACCUGUUUUGAUGUUUUAGGCUAGAAUUGGAAGAUGGAUGUCCAAUUCCCUAUCUACAAAUGCAGAAUUGGAACGUGGCUGAGGUACAAUGUGUGUAUGAUGCCAGAAGGUCUGGCUCUGGCCACGUGGUGCCUGGCAUCUAAGCCUGGGUUAGAGGCACUGGCAGUUGGACACAACAGAGAGUGAUCUGGGUAGGAGAUAAGAUUUGGGGGCCUAGAAUACCCAGAGGAAUGUUGAGCACUGAAUCUGGGGAAUGAAAACAUUUAAGAGACGAACAGAGAAAGAAGAAAAAGCAAAGGAGGCUAAAAAACAAUCCCAAGCUGGGGCACCUGGGUGGCUCAGUUGGUUGAACAUCCGACCUCAGCUCAGGUCAUGAUCUCACAGUUCGUGAGUUCAAGCCCCACGUCGGGCUCUGUGCUGACAGCUCAAAGCCUGGAGCCUGCUUCGCAUUGUGUGUGUCUCUCUUCUCUCUGCCCCUCUCCCCCUCCCACUCUGUCUCUCUUUCUCUCAAAAAUAAACAUUAAGAAGAAAAAACAAACAAAAAAACCUCAAGUAGAAAUAAUAACCACCCCUGAUGGAGCAUUUUCUCUGUGCCAGGCACUGUGAUUAAGUACUUUGCAUGCAUUUCCUCCUUUAGAGGCUGAAAAGGAGCAAGACAUCACAGAGAGAAGAAAAUUUCAAGAAGACAGACACUUCCCCUCCUUGGAUCAUUUUUGUCACACUUUCUUUAUCUGCCACCUUCAUCCUGUCCUUUAGAGCCCAGCUCAGUGAGCACCACUUUCCUGGAUCCUCCCAGGCAGUUAGCUUCUCCUGUGGAAUCAUCUAGCACGUCACAUGUCGCACAUUUUAUUCACUCAGCCAACAAAUGAUUGUUCCACUGGUUUAGAAUUUAUGGUGUUUUAAUGCAAUUAUUAUUAUCUGCUGGGCCCUGGUUUACUCAUUCUGAAGAUUUAGACUCAAGCAUGUAGAGUGAUCAACAAAAUGAGGAUUUGUUUAAUAAGCAGAUGAAUGAGCAAUAUAAAAUAGUACAUUUAUUCAAGAUUCAGUUUGAACCAAAGUAUGAGAGGAUCUCUGGACAGCCCAUUUCAGAUGUAAAUUGCUAAACUUUCUAGGACAGUCAUGAGUUGAGGAUUCACUGAAUGGUUGAUUUCUGUUUUUUGGAUUUUCAGUGCUCAAUUGACACACCCCUGGUUAAUGUCAGACAUUAACCAAGUGUUGGAGUUCCCUGUGACACAGGCACACACAUUCUCUGAAUACUUAUUAUGCACAAUUCAAUAAUGAUUAACAUUUGAACUCUGUCUAGGCUGAGCAAGCCACAUCAAAGCUCUUUUUUCAUUAGGACUUUUAAAAUAUCAAAUAUGGACUGAAUGAGUAGGUGUUGGAGAAACUGACUUUGUAAACUAAAAAUCAUAAACCCAGAUCUGUUUGAAAUAUGUCAUGUGGAGUGCCUAUAUAAAAAUUAUGAGCAUUUUGAUUUUUCCCUUGUAGGUAAUAAAUAACAUCUGUAAUAUUCCUCCUCACCUUUUUCUGAUUAGCUUUAUGUCUGGUAUAUUUUCCCCAACACUCCUGUUUCGUGUAAUAAGGAUUUCGCCAAGGAGAGACAGGAUUCUAAAGCAGUGUGGGUGUAACAGAAAACCUGCAGCAAUCAAGGUUAAGUCCAGAAAUAAGGGGCAGGAUGAGUUUGGUGGGGAAUUUUUAAUGCUAGUCAGGCCUCUCUGUUUUACCUUUCUCAGGGGUACACACUAGCAAAGCUCAUGGGCCCUAAGGGACGGGAGUACCCCUGAAGUUGCAAAGGGCAUGUGGCCCACAAACCAGCUCCACUGGACCCCAGUGCUGAUAUGGCUCUCCAGACCCCCUCAUUUUGCACCUGAGCCCAUGUGGGUGCAUCCAGCAGAGUGCCCUGGCCCACUGGUGUUCACCCUGGGGUCCAUGGGGCCCCCAGGGUCCUCUGAGGAUUGCUGGUGGUGAGCCCAGGUGGAGGUUGGACAACUCUUUUAGCUGUUAUGUACGAUGGGCAGCUGUGUGGCAUUUGUCUGGAGGGAAGAGCUGUGUCAAGACCAUUGCAAGCAUAGUAGAUGCUGCUGUUGCUGAAGAUGCUGAUUUCAGGUCAUUAAAGGUGACAGAAAGCCAGGCAGUGAUGUUGGGCCAGGCUAGGCUGCCAAGAAGCCAGUUGCUGAGCUUUGCUGAGCUCAGGGCACCAUAGUUAAGUCCUAAGGUGACUGUGGGGGUCAGGUGAUCCUAAUGCACAACCAGAAUUGGGAAUCCCUGAUCUGUUUCACCCCGUUUUCCCAAUUUUAACCAUACCUCUGAGUUAACAUACAUAAUUUCGAUGGUAUUGCCUUGUUGUUGUUAUUUUUCCACACAGUAUUCUUUUUUCAUUCAUUUUAAAACCACUUUGUUCAGGUAUGAUUGACAUGGAAAACGUUGUACAUUUACAACUUAAUAUUUAAAAAUAUGUAAAAGCUUCAUAUUUACAACUUGAUGACUUUUGAGAUAAGUAUACUUACAUGAAACCAUUGCCACAUUCUAUGCUGUAAACAUAUCCAUCACCUCCAGAAGUUUCUUCCCACCCUCUUAUUAUUUUCUUUGUGUGUGUGUGUGUGUGUGUGUGUGUGUGUGAUAAGAAUGCUUAACAUAAGAUCUUCCCUCUUAGCAAGUGUUUAAGGACAUAAUAUAGUAUUAUCUGUGGGUACUGUGCUGUAUAGAUCUCUAGGUAGGACUCAUUCAUCUUACAUAACUGAGACUUUGUACCUUUUGACUUCCCCAUUUCCCCCCAUCCUCUCUUCCCCACAAUUUUCUUUUUUUUUUUAAAGCUUAUUUAUCUAUUUUGAGAGAGAGAACGUGACAGGGAGAGAGAGGAUCCCAGGCAGGAUCCCAGGCCAUCAGCACAGAGCCCAAUGCUGGGCUUGAGCUCACGAACCACGAGAUCAUGGCCUGAGCCGAAGCCAAGAGUCAGAUGCUUAACCACCUGAGCCACCCAGGCACCGCUGUUCCCCACAAUUUUCUAAUAAUAUGUUGUUCCAUUGGCACCUGGUUCAGAUUUCACAGUUGUUAUAGGUCUGGGCAGCUGACCACGCCUUGAUUUUGAUGGCUGUCAAUCAAAGGCCAUAGGUUCAGCCUAAAUUGAAAUGAUUUCUUUCAGUUGGUCAAUUAGUUUAUCCAUGUACCCUGCCCUAUGGCAACUGCUGUGGAAAUUCAAGAGACCUGUGACUGGGAUUUUUAUACUUACAAUGCAAAGAACACUCACCACCCAAAGGAUCUCAUUCCGUCCUCACAAUUAUCCCAUGAGGUAGGCAUUAUUUUUCUCCUCAUUUUACAUACAAGGAAAUGGAAAUUCAGAGUGGCUCCGUGACUUAAUAGGUUAUUCAUUCUACAGGCUAUGAAAAUGUACAGUGGUUUCUCAGAAUAUUAUGAGUGGUUUCUCAAAAUAGCGAGUAAGGUAUAGGGAAUGCCACUGGUAAAUCCCUAACCGUUCUGUAAAUCCCAGCUUGCGAGCUGCCAGAGCCAUAUGGCUAGUGGGGGCUUUUUCCAUCCCUGAAAAUUAAGCAGAAAGGGUCAAACAUCAGCUCAGAGCGUGGGGUUCUAGCCCAUGUUUUAUUGGGAACUGUUUUUAGAGAAAUACUUCUAUUUUGAGGUCUAGAAUGACUGUUGAAAAAACAAGAAUCAAGACAACCAUGAACACAUUCGCAUCUGGGUACGUCAGUCCUUACCACACAGCAAGAUGAGAGGCAGCCAGGGCCUGGGCCUGCAGUUUCCCGGAUGUGUCAAACCAUGAGCAGACUACAGAUUUCAUCCGCGUGUUCGCUGAGAGCGCCCAGGCAGCUGUAGCCCAAAUGCACCAUGGAGGGCACACCGUCUGUGGGCAGUGGGGCUAGCUGGCAGACUAGCUGGUACAGCAAGGCCUUAGUGACUUGAACUUCACUUUGAUUUGGCGAUCCUUUGAACUUUUCUGGGACUGAGCCAUGAAGAAAUUGGUCAGCCGGUCAAAUGUUGAGUGUAAAUAAAACUUUAGUGUUUUAUUUAAGAGGCACAUUUGACUCACAUAAUAAGCUGACAAAUUUGCCCGUUCCUUAAAAAAACAUACCUGACAGGACUCCAUAUUAAAAAAUACCUUGAUCACCAAAUAUCUGGAAGAGCUGGGAGGUUUUCCCACUUAGGCCAAGUGAGUAAGUUUUGCUCUAAGUAAAACUACAUAUGCCUUAAAAGCAUGAAGAUGACAUCCCAGCAGAAGCAGGAAGAAUAAAAUGGGUGGCCAGAGGUAGAAUAAACUUUUAAGCUGGUCUUUGCAAAUUGUAAACGUGAUCAAAAACAGAAAGAGCUCAGUAGAAAUGAAAAGGUACCAAACCCUGAAGUAGCAAAUGAAAGCUUCGCCAUUAACGCCUUUCCCACCAUCCCUGUUCAAACUCUGGAACGUGUGUUGGGGAGCAAAUACAGGUCCUCUCCAGACCCAGACCAGAGAAGUGGUUUGUCUGGUUUGGGUUUUGGUUUUUCUUUUUUUUUUUUUUUCUGCUUUAAUAAUGAGUUCUGCCUACUUUUCUCCUCUUUGUAAGGUCUUCAGAAAAGGAGGAUAUAUAAGAAAAAAACCUGUGUUAUACUAAUAGCUACCACUCAAUAACAGUUUUUACCAGCGAUUAUUACCGACUUCAUAGAGCUAGUGCAAGGAUUAAAUGAGCUAACAUAUAUGGUACACUUAACACAACAUUUUAUGUUUAUAAGCAAGUAGCAAGUGCUUUUAAUAUUAGCGUUAUUAUCUUUAAUGUUGACAAUGUUAAUAAUAGCCUUACAAUAUACCAGAUACUCUGUUAAGCACUCGAUAUGCCUUAUCUCACUUGCUCUUAUAUUACUUUCAUAUAGUAAAUUGAGGCACGGGGAGUCAGGAAAGUUGCCCAAGAUCGCACAACUGGCAUCAAAAUCAUUUAUUAUGUACUUACGAUAUUCUGGACAUAGUACUAAUGAACAUUUUCUAUGUAUCAUCAUAUUUAGCCACACAACAGUCCUGUGAAAUAGAUGCCAUUAUCCUCAUUUUACAGAUGAGGAAAUGUAGAUCCAGAGAGUUCAGCUAACACCGAAGCUCACUCAGCCAGUGAAUGAUGGAGCUGAAAUUCAAACCCAAGCAAUCUUGCUCCAAAAGGGCGUGCUCUUUACUGCUGUGCACUGUGGUCUUCUGGGAGAGGGGACCGCAGGGACUUCACUUCAGUCACAUGGCCCUCUCCUCAUGCUGCUUACUAUCCCUAGCAGCGCUUUCCUGCAGGGCCACAGCAUUAACUCUUCCCAAGCCGAAUUCUCCAGCCACAUCCAAUGCAUUCUACAUCCCAGAGAGGAAGAGACCCAGACCGCCCCCUUCAGCCCUGUGCUAAUACUUGGGGCUCCUUAUUACCCUGCCUGAUUUUCUCUAGGCGUGAAAACUUUGUUUUCUAUCAACUUUCCUCUUCUUAUCUGCAAGUCAGCUAACAUAUUUAUUUUACUUAAGCCUUGCAUAGUUAAAAAUCAUCAGAGUUAUACACCAAAAUGUUAACAGCAGCCAGUAAAUUUAGCUAAUUUUAAUUUUCUUGUUCAUAUGUUUUUGUGUUUCCAACUUACAUACAAUAAACAUAUAAGUUACAUAGAAAAAAAUUAGAGACUGUAUUAGACAGUGGUUUCCAAAGAGUCAUGAGGAUACAUUGUCCAGUCAAAAGAAUAAGGUUGCCUUUCAUGAACACCAGGAAAUCAGAAGCAUCCCCUGGCACCUCACUGUCCCUUCCCCAUUUGGCGAAUCCAUCACCCAUCACUAAUUAGUGUCUUUCCAAUUAUAGUUUAGCUGCAGACCCCUUUUUCAAACAAAAACGUAGAGAAGUAUAAUAUAUUUAGCAAAUACUACAAGUUCUUCCUUAAGGUUUAACCAGCACUGCAUGAAAUGAAGACAGGGAACCUGAACCCUGCCCACUAACUCGCCAUCCCAUUUAGUGACAACUCCCAAGGUACUUCUGGAACCCCUGCUGGCUCUGGAGAACACAUUCUCCCCUGAAACCAUUGACCCGACCUCAUUCUAGAAGCUUGGACUUCUUCAGAUUUCCAGAGGUUGCCCAGAUUAGGAGCUCUAUAAAUUUACUACGUAAUAUGUAAGAUAGUGAUUUCCUUCAGUUGCCCUAAAAUUUUUCACUAAUGUCCAAAAUCAGUACCCAUGACUGGUCCAUCUUAUAACUGAGUAUCUCUGUCUGUCCAGAGACCUUUAUUUUGUCAGAGGUGGCCUUCACCUCAGAAGGAAAAGAUAAAAGUUUAUGCUUCUCUGUGGACCCCUAGUUCCUGCCUAGGGGUUAACAAAUCCAAUGUCCUUUUCUCCUCCAUCAGGCUGCUUGUACAACUCUGUGAAUAUGCUAAAAAACAUUGAAUUUUACCUCUAAAGGAAUGCAUUGUAUCAUAUGUGAAUUACAUCAUAAUAAAGCUAUUAGAAAAAAAGUUUAAUUAAAAAUAAUAUUUAAAUUCCUCUUGUGUCCCCCUGUUGAUGAGAAGAAAAGUGACAGUUCUGGCUUUUCACACUCCCCGAAGCUGUCUCACCCCGUCUACCCAACCAUCCCACCGAAGCCUCCAACAGCACCUCCCUCCCUGUCCUCCAGAGACCCUCCAUCACCGAGACUUCUGUUCUCAUUCUUCAGGCUAAAAAUCCCUUCUUCACCUUCUGUUUAUCCAGUUUUCAGUUAUCUAUUGUUUCAGUGAUGCUUCUCAUUGAUAUGGCUGGCCAUGGGGUAAGACUUUGGGGUUAUAGAACUAAAUCAGAUCCAGGCCAUUCCCCAUAUUAAAAAAAAAAAUUUUUUUAGUGUUUAUUCAUUUUUGAGAGAGACAGAGCAUGAGUGGAGGAGGGGCAGAGAGAGAGGGAAACACAGAAUCCAAAGCAGGCUCCAGGCCCGGAGCUGUCAGCACAGACCCCAGUGUGGGGCUCGAACCCAUGAACUGUGAGAUCAUGACCUGAGCCAAAGUCAGACACUUAACCGAAUGAGCCGCCCAGGUACCCCAUAUACCCUACAUUUUUUUAAAAAGGUUUAUUUAUUUAUUUUGGGAGAGAAAAAGAUCGCACAUGCACGAGCAGGGGAGGGGCAGACAGAGAGAGAGAGAAUCCCAGGCAGUCUCCAGCUGUCAGCAGGGCUGACAGAGCCAGACGUGGGGCUUGAUCCCAUAAACUAGGAGAUCGUGUCCUGAGCCAAAAUCAAGAGUCAGACACUUAACCACCUGAGCCACCUAGGUGCCCCACUACCCUAUAUGUUUUUCACACAGGAAGAGGGCAGAGUGGUAGAUAACGAAGAGGUAUAUCUUUCAGGUCUUACCGAAAGUCCCACUUUCUUCAUCCAUCCUUCCUGUGCACUUUAACCUGUAUCAUCUUUUUCCUACCAUGAUCUUUUAUAAUAUUUACUGUUUGACCUUAAUUAUAUUCUGCCUGAUGUUGUUUUUUUGACCAUUUCAUAUGUAAUAUCUUUCUAAUUGCUUUGUAAGAUUACAAAUACACAGCUUCCUCGUGUAUGGUUUUCUAUUGCUGCUGUAAUAAAUUAUCACAAGCUCAGUGGUUCAAAAGAACACAGGUGUCUGACAGUUUUGUAGGUCACGAGUGGGAGCAGGGCUAAGGUCAAGGUUUUAGCACUGCUGUACCCUUCCAGAGGGUCUAAUACAGAAUCCAUUUCCUUGCCUUUUCCAGCCUCUGAUGGCUGCCCACAUUCCUUAGCUCGUGGCCCCUCCUCCAUCUUCAAAGUCAGCAACACGGUAUCUCAGACUCUUCUGCUGUGGCCACAUCUCCCUCUGACCAAAGUCAGGAAAUUGUCCCUGCUUUUAUGAACUCAUAGUUAGAUUGGGCCCACUCAGAUAAUCUGAGAUAACCUCCACAUCUCAAGGUCUUUAUACUUAGACAUAUCUGCAAAGUCUCUUUUGUUAUGUAAGGUAACAUUUCCACAGGUUCCAGAGGGGUUAGGACAUGGACACCUUUGGGAGCCACUAUCCUGCCUAUCACCCCAUUUUAUACUUCCUUGUAUUGCAUAUGAGAUGGAUGGAAAGAAAUAAAAUAUGCAAACACUAACAACAAUGAUGACAACUAAUGCUAGGAUAUGUGUACAUCAGAUAAAGUAGACUAAAGGAAGAAGGUGUCGUUGGAGAUGAAGAGAGGCUUUUCAAAAUUAUACAAAAAGCAAUCAGCCAGAAAAUUAUAAUGCUUACAAAUGGGUACUUAAUAAUAUAGUCUCAAAAAAUGACAAAACUUGGAGGAGAAAAAAGCAAAUUUUCAGUCACAGUGAGAAAUUUUCAACAUCACUCUCUCAGUAACUAUUUGAACAAUCAAACUAUAGAAUCAGUACAGAUAUAAAAUAUUUGAACAGCAUAAUUAACAAACUAUAAUAUAUAUGGAUCACUGCACCCAACAACUUGAGAAUAGAUGUUUUUUUUCUUUUUUCAAGUGAGAAUGAAACAUUAUACAGUUGACCACAUACUGGGCCAUAAAGCAAGUGGAAACACAGUGCUAAGGAUUUAAAUUAUGUACUGUACAUCUAACAUGAUUCUAAAGUUAGAAGUUUAUUUCUAAAAAAUCAUAGAUAUAUUUUGUAAAUGUAAUGGAAUUAAACUGAAAAUUCAUAACGAAAGGAUAAUAGGAACUUCUCAAAUGUUUGGGCAUUAAGUGAUACACUUUUGAACAAUCCAUGACUCAGAAAGGAAAUCACAACAAAAAAUAGAAAAUAUUUUGACCUGAAUAACAAACGUGCAUAUUUAAAAUUUGCAAGAUAAAAAUGAAUUGGUGCUUUCCCACGUUUAUAGCAGCACUAUCAACAAUAGUCAAAGUAUGGAAAGAGCCCAAAUGUCCAUCGAUGGAUGAAUGGAUAAAGAAGAUGUGGUAUGUAUAUCUAUAUAUAUAUACAAGGAGUAUUACUCGGCAAUCAAAAAGAAUGAAAUCUUGCCAUUUGCAACUACGUGGAUGGAACUGCAGGGUAUUAAGCUAAGUGAAAUUAGUCAGUCAGAGAAAGACAAAAAUCAUAUGACUUCACUCAUAGGAGGACUUUAAGAGACAAAACAGAUGAACAUAAGGGAAGGGAAACAAAAAUAAUAUAAAAACAGGGAGGGGGCAAAACAGAAGAGACUCAUAAAUAUGGAGAACAAAGGGUUGCUGGAGGGGUUGUGGGAGGGGGGAUGGGCUAAAUGGGUAAGGGGCAUUAAGGAAUGUAUUGAAAUCAUUGCUUCAUUAUAUACUAACUAAUUUGGAUGUAAAUUUUAAGAAAUAAAAAAGUUAAAUUAAAAAAAUAAAAAAUAAAGUACACUCCAUUCUUAAAUAAAUAAAUAAAUAGGUGCUUGGAUGAAAACUUAUAGUGUUAAAUGUAUAUAUCAAAAAUGAAAAAGUGCUGAAAAUUAAUUACGCAGGAAGCUAUGAAUAGAAGAGCAAAGUGAGCUGAAAGGAAAUGGAAGGAAAUAAUAAAGAGAAGAGGCAAAAUUAUGAAAUAGAAAGCUAAUAUACUACAGAGAGGGACUACUAGGUAAAAAGUUUGUGGGGCGCCUGGGUGUCUCAGUCGGUUAAGCGGCCAACUUCGGCUCAGGUCAUGAUCUCACGGUCCGUGAGUUCGAGCCCUGCGUCGGGCUCUGUGCUGACAGCUCAGAGCCUGGAGCCUGGAGCCUGUUUCAGAUUCUGUGUCUCCCUCUCUCUGACCCUCCCCUGUUCAUGCUCUGUCUCUGUCUCAAAAAUCAAUAAACGUUAAAAAAAAAAAUUAAAAAAAAAAAGUUGAAAAGACCAAUAAAUACAAUUAACCUUUAACAAAAUUUAUCAUGGGGAAAAAAAGUGAAAAGCACACACUGCCAGCAUCAGGAAUGAAAAGAUAUUACUACAGAUGCUACAGACAUUAAAGGUAAUACAGAAACGAAAAUGUGUGUGACUAGACAAAUUCCCAGUAAAAUACGGUUUACCAAAACUAAGAAAAAGAGAAAUAAAAGAUCCGAAUAGUUCUAUAUCUGUUAAAGAAAUUAAAUUAAUAAAUAACCUGCCCACAAAGAAAACUCGAGGCCCAGAUACCUUUACAAAUGAACUCUUCCAAGUAUUUAGGAAAUAACAACCAUCUGACACAAACUCUUCAGGGAACACUUCCACUUCCUUUUAUAGGACCAAUAUAACCUUGACUCAAAAAGAUGACAAGAAUAUUUUAAGAAAAAAAUUAAUAGAGAAAUUGAAGCAUAGGUGCAAAAGCUCUGAACAAAAUGUGAAUCCAGCAAUAAAUAAAAAGGACAAACAUCAUGACUAAAGGAGGUUUAUUCUGUAAAUGCAAGGUUGAUUUGGCAUUUAAGAAUUAAUAAGUAGAGGGGUGCCUGGGUGGCUCAGUCGGUUGGGUGUCUGACUUUGCCUCAGGUCAUUAUCUCACAGCUCGUGAGUUCGAGCCGCACAUCAGGCUCUGUGCUGACAGCUGGGAGCCUGAAGUCUGCUUCAGAUUCUGUGUCUCCCUCUCUCUCUGCCCUUGCCCUGCUUGUGCGUGCUUUCUCUCUCUCUCUCUCUCUCUCUCUGUCUCUCUCAAAAAUAAAUGAAUAAACAUUGAAAGAAAAGGAAUCAAUAAGUAUGAUUAAUUGUGCUAAAAGACAAAUGAAUAAUUGUGUGAUAUUUUCAGAUGCUGAAAAAGCAUAUGGCAAAUUUUAACACCCAUUUAUGAUAAAAACUUAGUAAACUGGGAGUAGAAUGGAUCUUCUUUUAUCUGAUAAAGCAUAGCUACAAAGAUUUUUAUAUUGAUAUCAUACUUAACAGUAGAAUAGUAAAACCUUUUCCCCUGAAAACAGGAAUGAGAUAGAAAUUCUCACUAUCACUACUUUUAUUCAAAUUUAUACUAGAGAUUUUGUACAAUGGCAUAAGGUAAGAAAAAAGAAACUGAAAGAUCUAUUAUGGGGAGAAACCAAUGUCAAUAUUUGCAGGUGACAUUAUAGCAUGCAUAGAAAAUCCAAAGACUAUAAACAAAGAAUUAGAAUUAAUAAAUGAAUUUAGCAAAGUCACUAAAAACAAGGUCAAUAUGUAAAAGUGUCAAUUGUGUUAAUUCAGAGUAUGAAAUAUGUAUUUUUAAAAUUUUUUUAAAUAUUUAUUUAUUUUUGAGAGAGAGAGCAAGGGAGAGGUAGAGAGGGAGACAUAGAAUCCGAGGCAGGCUCCAGGCUCUGAGCUGUCAGCACAGAGCCAACACAAGAUCAUGACCAGAGCCGAAGUCGGAUGCUUAACGUACUGAGCCACCCAGGAGCUCCUGUUUUAAAAUAUUGUUUAUAACGGUAUUAAAACACAUUAACCAACUGGGAGUAAACCUAAGAAAAGACAUGUAAGACCUCUACACAGAAAAUCAUAGAAUACGAUGAAGAGAAAUUAUGGGGAUCCACCACACGCAUGAAUUGUAAGUCUCAAUUUUUUAAGACAGCAAUACCCCACAAUUGAUCCCUGGAGUUAAUACCAUCAUAAUCAAUAUCCCAGUAGCCAGUUGCUAGUUUGUGAAAUUUAACAAGCUACUCCUAGAAUUUAUAUUGAAAUUCAAAAGGCUGGGACCCCUGGGUGGCUCAGUCAGUUGAUUGUGGACUCGAUUUCAGCUCAGACCAUGUUCCCGGGGUCGAGGAUCGAGCCCCGCAUUUGGCUCCACACUGAGCGUGGAGUCUGCUUAAGAUUCUCUCUCCCCAUCUGCCCCUCUCCCUUGCUAGCUUGCGCACUCUCUCUCUCUGUCCCUAAAAUAAAAUUAAAAAAAAAUAAACACGGGUGCCUGGGUGGUUCAAUCAGUUAAGCAUCCGACUUCAGCUCAGGUCAUGAUCUCACAGUUCAUGGGUUUGAGCCCCACGUUGGGCUCUGUGGUGACAGCUCCGAGCCUGGAGCCUGCUUCGGAUUCUGUGUCUCCCUGUCUUUCUGCCCCUCCCCCACUCAUAUUCUCUCUCUCUCUCUCUCUCUCUCUCAAAAAUAAAUAAACAUUAAAAAAAAAGAAAAUGCAAAAGCCAAUAAUGGUGAAAUCCAUCUGGGAGAACAACAAAUUUGGGGACUUAGAAAAACAUAUGGUAAAUCUACAGUAAUUAAGAUAGUGUAGUAAUAGCAUAAGGACAGACAUAUAGACCAGUGGGACAGAAUAAAAACUCUAGAGCUGGCCUGUCCAAUGCAGUAGUCAUUAGUCACAUAAGGCAAUUAAAGUUUAAAUUAAUUUCCUUAGUUGCAGUAGCUGCAUUUCUUUUUUUUUUUUUUUUUUCUUUUUUAACACUUAUUGAUCUUUGAGAGAGAGACAGAGACAGAGUGUGAGAGCAGUAGGGGCAGAGAGAGAGGGAGACACAGAAUCUGAAGCAGGCUCCAGGUUCCAAGCCGUCAGCACAGAGCCCAACGCGGGGCUUGAACUCACAAGCUGUGAGAUCAUGACCUGAGCCAAAGUCGGACGCUCAACCGACUGAGCCACCCAGGCGUCCCAACACUAGCUGUAUUUCAUAUGCUCAAUACUCUCAGCACCCGGCUAGUGGUUGCUGCAGUGGACAACAGACAUAAAACACUCCAGAAAGUUCUAUUUGGACCAUGCUGCUCUAGAGACAGACUCACCACAUAUGGAAAUAAGAUGUUUGACAAAGGUGUCACUGAAGAUGAGUAGCAAAGAACAAUCUUUUCAACAGUCUUGGUCAGAUAAUAGCCAUCUUUGAAAAAUGAAUCUUGAGUCCCACCUUACUUCGUGUGCAGAAAUCAGUUCCUGGUGGGUUCUAUGCCUAAAUGCAAGAUGUUGUGGAAUUUUCAUGGAACAGAAUCACAUCCAGCAGUCAAAAUGAAUGAAGUGCUGGGAACAGGCUGAACCUCAACACCAAGGGUGAGUCUCACAAACAUUAUGAAAUCAGUUGGAGCCAGAAAUAAAAGAGAACAUGCUGUAUGGUUUCCAUUUGUACAAAGUUGAAAAGCAGGCAGGAAGAGUCUCUGCUGACGGAUGGCAGUUACCUUGGAAGAGGAGGCUGGUGACCGGAGGCUGCUGACAUGGGCUUCUGAAAUCCUGGUAAUAUCCUGUUUCUUGAGUGGGCUGGUGUCCACAGGAGAGGGUCCAGUCUUCAUCAGCACCAUUAGUGCACUUUUCUCUAUGGGUGUUACUUUAAAAUGUUUUUUUUAAACAACCCUUGGAUUGACACAGAAAAAGAAAGAUAAUUCUUGGUGAUUGAGUGAUAAAGGAAAGGUGAAGAUUCUAAAAAUUUUUAGAUAGGCAACAACUUGAAGUCUGAAAGUAUCAGGUAUAGGAUAUGGAGAAGGGGAGACGUCACUGGCACAAGGGCCAAUUAGUAUGUGUUGUAAAGUUGGAAAUGUGUGCCCCUUGCAAGUGGACAGUUUUGCUUCCAGACACACACCUUAGAGAAAUGCUUGCUCAUGUGCACCAGGGGACAUGGGCAACAAUGCUCGUUGCAGAAUAGUGUACAACAACAACAACAAAAAAAAAAAAAAAAAGAAGAAGAAUUGAAGUAACCUGAUGCCUAACAGGGAAAUGGGUAAAUAAAAUGUGAGUUUCUGUAUAGUGAAAUACUAAACAGUUAAAAGGACUAUAAUAUACACAAGCAUAAUCACAGAGCUCUGAAAAUACUGAAGUGGAUUGAAAAAAGCAAGUUGCAGAGUAUGUAUGGCAUAACAUAUACGCGUACAUUUUUAAAGUAUAAAAUAGGACUGUAGAUUUUUCUGUGGCACAUGCAUGUGUAACCAGACUGUUAAAUCGCCGCAGGAUACACUGUACCCUGAUCUAUGAUAGCAGCAGCCUCAGGGGCAGGGGGUGAAGGGACGGAGAUUAAGGAUGGGGAUAGACCGUCACAUGGGAACUGUCACUUCAUUUUCAUUGUCUGUUUCCUUUUUUUUUUUUUAAUGGCAAGUAUAACAAAAUGUUAACAUCUGUCCCUUCUAGGUGUUGGCUCACAGAGUGUGAGUUCUCUUAUUUCUUGUAAUGUUCCCUUUGUUUAACUUCUCAAUAAGAAAAAAAAUAGAGUUGCGAUAAUAGCAUCUUUCAUCGUUUAGUCUUAGGCUUGUUUAUUGUUUAGGUAUUUUACGUUCCUGUUUGUUUUAAGAAAAAAUGUAUAUAAAUAUGAGUAUAGCUGAGAUAGCUCAAUUUCCUCUCUUUGUUUAUGUUAGCAAAGCAUACUUGUUUUAUUUAACAUCCUUUGGUAUCAAAAUGUGGCCUUUACACAAACUUGUGAGGAGUAAAUCAUGAGGGCUCACAGUCCUAACACAGUCUGUGUUUUAAGAACAUAUUUCCUAUGAUAGACAUCCUCUGCGCCUCGAUCACAGCAAACAUUCGCUUAUAUUGGAGCCGAAACAUCCACAAGCAGGCGGAGAAAAAAAGUCAAGGAGAUUUGCUGUUUGGUGCUAACAAUCUGUCGGUACAUGAUUGUUGGGACAGACGGGCCGGCCGCCAUGAUGGAGAGUGCACUGUUACAGACAGAGCACACACAAGGCUAUGAGUCACUGGGCGGGCAGUCUGGCAGCCUUUGGAAACGCACCCUAGGUGAUUGCUGUGACCGGGUUUGAAAAGUUGACAGGUAAAUGUGGACUUGAAACAGACUAGCUAUUUUAUGGUUAGGCCCUAAACUGCAGGCUUUUAAACAUGCUCAGGUAUGAGUGAGGUGGGGACCUGCAUACCCUGCCCCCACAGAUCCAGCAGGGUCUUUACAGCAGAACUCAGGUCUCUCUUCUACACCUAUUUCACUCCUCACAAGUAGGCCAAGGAGGGAGUUACCCAAAAGAAGGAACUGAGCAUGCUCAUUUCAGACUCUUCUGUCUGUCUCAUUUGGGGGCUUGCCUGCCCCCAGAAUAUAUGUAAGCACUCUGGUCUGCUCUCAGGUCUGAGGGAGCCCAGUGGGUGUCCUGCAGGAUCAGGGAUGAGUGAUUUAGUCUUUCUAAGUCAAGAGUCAAUUAUUAGCAAGGCCUCUCGGCCACAGAUCUGAAGCUAUGUUCUCUCUAAUCAACUUUAUCAGUAACAAGGGCAAUAUCUUAGCUCCAACUGUCUGGCCUCUAACCUUUCAAUUGGUUCCAAAUUCAAGAAGGUGGGGGAGUUAAUUGCUCCCCCUAAAACCUGAUGAUCAAUUAGUAUAAGACCCCAAGAUGAUAAUGUAAUCCGUGUUAAUAACCAAUAAUUUGUAUACCAAUUUGUUCUUAUACCCAUAAUUAUCCUGUCUGAAUAGUGAACUGAGCAUUGCUCACUUUUAUCUUUCAUAACUGUGGUUAAAAAAAUAAAUAUAGCGCUGUAUGUCAUGGCAUGAUUGAACUCUCAUAGCUUGAGAUAGACUCCAUUAAAAUGUACACUUUAUAAUCUAUUAUCUACAUAUAUCUAUCUAUAAGUAUAUAUAGAAAAUGUAUUUAUCUAAUUCAAUCAUUUAGCAGCAAAAAGAAAAAAUGCACACAUGAAAAACAGCCUCUCCUGCUAUUACAGAACACUGUUCUGCACACGGCCAGAUGUACGUUCACAGAACACAGCAAUUUUAAGGAUGAAUUCAUGUUCUAAUCUCUUUAGGAUUACCUUAUAUUCGUGGUGGUUUAUGACUGAUGUUUAAAGUAACUAUAGCUUUCUGUUUAUAUUUAAUAGAAGAUUCGUGUCUGUGGUGGGAUACACAUUUACACUCGGGAUAAAAGCUACUGUUCUACAGGAAGGAUAUUAAAUGUUGAUUUAGAACGACACAUUUCAAUAACAGUGAUCUAAAUCUCCCAAACUGUUUCUUCCCAGGUCCUGGGAAAAGCCUGGCACCAGCAAAGGAUGAUUCUUCUCAUCCAGCAUACUUAGCCUUCAACACAUCUCUGCAUGCUGCAAUUAGACACGGGAACUGGAAACUACUCACCGGCUACCCAGGCUGUGGCUGUUGGUUUCCUCCGCCGUCUCCAUACAACGAUUCUGCGAUACCCUCAUCAGACCCACCGACCAAGACCCUCUGGCUCUUUGAUAUUGAUCAGGACCCAGAAGAAAGACAUGACCUGUCAAGAGACUAUCCCCAUAUUGUUGAGCAGCUCCUUUCCCGCCUGCAGUUCUACCACAAACAUUCAGUGCCUGUGUAUUUCCCGGCACAGGACCCCCGCUGUGACCCCAAGGGCACUGGGGCCUGGGGUCCGUGGGUAUAGGACUUCUGGCAGCCUGGGGGAGCCAGACCACCUUUUCUGUCACAAGUUAGACUUCAGGCCUUUACUCCUGUAUCUCGUGUCUCUCCCAGCCUGGGUUCGCCUGGUCCUUCUCUUGUUUCUGAACCACACUGAGGAAUCUCAUUUCAAACCCCAGUGCAUAUAAGAAGCUGAUAAAACCUGGAACAGUCCUGUUGUUGGCUGGGGUGUGUGUCUAGAGGAGAGGGGGGCUGAGUUCAACCGCUUUUUCCUGAGUGUGGGACAGCUGGGAACUUGACUUGAAAUAGGAAGUUCUCGUUGAGUCCUAGAGGCUGGAGCAGCUGGCUCUUUUUGCCUCACAAGUCAGAUGUUACAUUUCCCCCUGCCAAUAGCUGGGUUUUAUUGGAGUGCCUCAUGUUUCUUGUAACAAAUGUGGGGAGCAGACAGUUUUUAAUGGUCCUGUUGGCCAGGGGAUCUCCCCGUCUGCGAGAUAUCAUGUGCAGGCAUUCCGUGUGAAUAACCCCCCUGGCUCACCCCUCACUCCGUCACUCAUCUCGUCAUGGAGCAUAAGGCCCAUUUCAUAGUUACGGUCAGCAUGGCAAUAUGCCUGCUUCUUGGUUUGGGUUAUUACAGUAAAGAAAUGUGUUUUUAUCCCCAGUUUCCUUUUUUUUUUUUUUUUUCUAGCCACUGCUCAUUUUGUCUAGACUUCCUGCUACCCCCUCUCCCCUGUGGUUCUUUUCCUAACCUCCCUUUGACUCAGGCAUCCUGUGCCUGGGAAGGCUGCCUUGCCUCUCCACGCUGAGCACCAUCAGUUUGGGGAUCUCUGCUGGGGCCUGCCUUCCUCUUGCCUCCACUACCAGAGCUGGAGCCCUGCCCAGAGAAGGUGGUCACAUCUGGCUCUGCAUGCAUGUUCGUGGUGGACACGAAGGGGCCGGGUGGGUGAUGCGUGGGUCUGUGUCAUCUGUUUGCUGAAGACUGUUCUAAGUUGCAUGGAAUUAAUUAUGAAUGUGGCUGUGUCUCAUAAUAUAUUAAGAGUUGCAUGCUAUUCCCUAGCUAGGAGGAGAAACCCCGGGAAACGGUCAUUUUGUCCCGGGGUGAUGGAGGGGGGCAGUUUGAAAGGAAAUGGCCAGCAUCUGAGAUCCUGGGCCUCAGUGAAGCAAAGGAGGGCACGUCCACCUUUCCCUAUUCUCAGUCUUACUGCUUGUAUUGAGGUUCUGGGGUUGGGGAAACAGGAUGAGGUUUUACUUACCGGCCCUUUCUCAGUCUCGCGAAAGUCCUGCUAAUGCGGAUCAGUACAGAUGCUCUCUGAAGAAUGUCAGACUCUGAAAAAUAUGUGCCAACACUCUACUCUUUUUUCCAUUAGCGGGACUCUUUGGUUCACUGGUGUCCCCACUACCUGGACCGGUGCCUGUUACAUAGAAGGCGGUCAAUACUUUUUUUUUGUUUUUAAUGAAUGAAUGGACAGUUGAACAAAUGAGAGAGCGGCACACCGUUAAAAAUCCAGUGAGCUAAAUACAGGUUUAGAGUAAAUAUCCUCCAACUGUUGCUUUUCUGUUCCCAAGCUGCCCUCCUGGGGUAGGAGCAUAGUCUGCAGAUCUGGACAGUCAGAGGACGCUCCAAAGUAAAGCCAUAAUACCCUCUCCAGGAGGGAAACAGGGAAGCAUGCCUGCCAAAGAUACCCUUUUGGCAAUAACCCUCAGUUCUGUUCUUCAUAGGACACUAGAAACUAAAACCAGCAAAUAAUAUGCUAUAGGUCCUUGUAUAGCCACCCUUCAACUCAGCAGCAAUAUUUUCGGGUCACUACCAAUUUGUAUUGUAUUAAAAUAAGAUGAUUGGAAGGAAAUGGUGCUAGAACUAAAAACACCUGUUACCAACCUUUACCCCAUGCCUGGGUUGGCAAACAGCUGGCCCAAAUGCCAUCACCUACCACUCCCUCACCUGUGGCAGAUACUCUGAACUAACUGAGCCCACGUGUUCCUCUGGAUCCUUCUAAUCCCAGUGUCUAUUAAUACCAUGAGAUUAGAGGCCAUCACUAUAUGACAGCCAUUCACCCUCCACGCCAUGCUCCCAGGGCUGUCCCCAGUUCCAGUCCCUUGAUUGCCAAGUACAACAUGGUGUUCUGUACUCAGUGGAUUUACAGGGAGUUGUCAAAACUAGUUGUUGUAAAACUUUUAUUUGAGAUUUUAUUUUAUCCAUUAUAGAAUGCAUCUCAUUAGGUUUCUCUUUUCUGUAUAAGAAUGUGAACAGAUUCACAUUGAGGAUGUUUCUUUCCGGGUUCAUUUGCGUUUAAAGAAAAGUUUUAUUAAUUUAAUUGUUCUUCUUUGCUACUACCUGAUUAUUUCAUAUCUGGGGAACAAAAAUUUUUUUUUACCCUUUAAAAUUUGUCAGCCGUGAAUAGGCAGUUUCCAUUUGGGUGAUGAAAAAGUUCUGAACCAUAUAGUGGUGAUGUUUGCACAACAUACCUCUGAAUUGUAUGGCUUAAAAUGGUUAAAAUGAUAACUUUUAUGUGUUUCUUACAACCGAUUUUUAAUGUGUUGGCCAGUUUUGUGGUAUGUAAAUUACAUCUCAAUAAAGAAACAUAGCAAAAAUAUCAGAA